rnacentral:rRNA from 1 species
CAUGCAUGUCUUAGAAGUAUAAUAGGAGGCGAUCCAUAAAUCUGCGAACGGCUCCGUAUAUCUGUUAUCACCCACGGCCACUAAAAAGAUCUCGGAUACCCACGGUAAUUCUGAGGCUAAUACGUAUACGUAGCUUGGGCCUCCAGGACAGGGUGCCCCCCGCAAGGGGGGCGCCUGGGCUAGUCGCUUGUUGCCGGGGGGUCCCGCAAGGGGUCCGCUGUCAUGAUGGCAGGCUAGUGCACCACACUGCGGGGGCGAUAUGUCCCGUAGGGUGCGCCAAGGGAGCCAGCCCUAUUAACUAGGUGUCCGGGUAAGGCCCGGCCACGGUGAUAACGGGUACAGAGGAUCAGGGUUCGGUCCUGGAGAGGAAGCCUGAGAGAUCGCUUCUACUUCUAAGGAAGGCAGCAGGCGCGCAACGUUCCCAAUGGGGAUACCCUGAGGACGUGAGGGGAUAUAGCAAUGCCCCGCCCAUAAAGCGGGGCAAUUGCAAUGGGGGUCCACUAAACCCUCCACCGAGUAACAAUUGGAG